CCUGAGCCAGAACCAGAGGCGGAAGCCCAAAAGCCACAGUUCAAGGUACCAAAGAUUCCUGAUGGCGAUAAAGUGGACUUUGACGUAA